UACGUAGGGUGCAAGCGUUGUCCGGAAUUAUUGGGCGUAAAGAGCUCGUAGGCGGUCUGUCGCGUCUGCUGUGAAAACUCAGGGCUUAACCCUGAGCUUGCAGUGGGUACGGGCAGACUAGAGUGCGGUAGGGGAGACUGGAAUUCCCGGUGUAGCGGUGAAAUGCGCAGAUAUCAGGAGGAACACCGGUGGCGAAGGCGGGUCUCUGGGCAGUAACUGACGCUGAGGAGCGAAAGCAUGGGGAGAGAACAGG
rnacentral:rRNA from 1 species